AUUGAACGCUGGCGGCAGGCCUAACACAUGCAAGUCGAGCGGAGCGGCGGACGGGUGAGUAAUGCCUAGGACUCUGCCUGGUAGUGGGGGAAAACGUCCGGAAACGGGCGCUAAUGCCGCAUACUAUCAGAUGAGCCUAGUGCGGAUUAGCUCGUUGGUGGGGUAAAGUCCUGCAAAGGCGACGAUCCGUAACUGGUCUGCGAGGAUGAUCAGUCACACUGUAACGUAGACAGGGGCCAGCCUCCAACGGGAGGCAGCAGUGGUGAAUAUUGGAAGAGGGGCGAAAGCCUGAUCCAGCCAUGCCGCGUGUGUGAAGAAGGUCUUCGGAUUGUAAAGCACUUUAAGUUGGGAGGCGUUACCAACAGAAUAAGCACCGGCUAACUUCGUGCCAGCAGCCGCGGUAAUAC
rnacentral:rRNA from 1 species